GUCAAAAUGAAGUUGCCUGUUUGGCUGUUAUUGCUGAUGUUCUUCUGGAUUCCUGUUUCCACAGGUGAUGUUGUGAUGACCCAAACUCCAUCCUCCUUGCCUGUCAGCAUUGGAGAUCAAGCCUCCAUCUCCUGCAGGUCUAGUCAGAGCCUUGUAUAUAGUGAUGGUAACACCUAUUUGAAUUGGUACUUGCAGAAGCCAGGCCAAUCUCUGAAACUCCUAAUAUACAAGGUUUCCAAUCGAUUUUCUGGAGUCUCAGACAGGUUCAGUGGCAGUGGGUCAGGUACAGAUUUCACACUCAAGAUCAGCAGAGUGGAGCCUGAGGAUUUAGGAGUAUAUUACUGCAUGCAAGCUACACAUUUUCCUCCCACAGUGAUUCAGACCCUAACAAAAACAUCCUUGCUUGUGGUGGCCCAUCUGACAAAUAUAUUACUUACCCUUUUGAAUAGAGAGCUGCUGAGAAACCCAAGAGUAUUGCUUGCAUCUGAGGGACUUGGAGCAUGA